rnacentral:rRNA from 1 species
UGGGGGAUAUUGCACAAUGGAGGAAACUCUGAUGCAGCAACGCCGCGUGAGGGAAGAAGGUCUUCGGAUUGUAAACCUAAGUAGUCAGGGACGAAAGAAAUGACGGUACCUGAAGAGUAAGCUCCGGCUAACUACGUGCCAGCAGCCGCGGUAAUACGUAGGGAGCGAGCGUUGUCCGGAUUUACUGGGUGUAAAGGGUGCGUAGGCGGGCCUGCAAGUCAGACGUGAAAUACCGGGGCUUAACUCCGGGGCUGCGUUUGAAACUGUGGGUCUUGAGUGAAGUAGAGGCAGGCGGAAUUCCUAGUGUAGCGGUGAAAUGCGUAGAUAUUAGGAGGAACACCAGUGGCGAAGGCGGCCUGCUGGGCUUUAACUGACGCUGAGGCACGAAAGCAUGGGGAGCAAACAGGAUUAGAUACCCUGGUAGU